rnacentral:misc_RNA from 1 species
GAAACCUCUCAACCGCUCCAAAUUUAUAUGGUGCGGCUUGGAAAUGGGGCUGCAGGCUGAGGUCUGCUCUCCUGAAAAGCAUUAGCGGUGUCUGGGCAGACUGCCACAGGUGUGAUAACCAAUCGACGCCUUGGUGUGUGCUGUGGAUUGCUGCCGCUUCCAACAUCUCUGAAUAUAUGACCA